AACAUACCGUUGAAGGGGAAUUAGUAGCCGGGAUACAGAUGGAAAGAGAGGAAAUGCCUUGGCUGUAAGCAUUUCUGCAUGAUGACCUGGUGAAUGAACACUCCGGAGGGUUUUCUCUGAACAUCGGCUCUUGCCGUCAAUAGGAGAAGACGUCGCAGGCGUUAACUGUUAAAGAGGUAGUGCCAAUAGGCGCUUCAAUUAGGGUGGCACCACGGGAAUAUAAGCUCUCGUCCCUUGU
rnacentral:ncRNA from 1 species